rnacentral:rRNA from 1 species
GCCUACGGCCAUACCACCCUGAAAGCGCCCGAUCUCGUCUGAUCUCGGAAGCUAAGCCGGCUCGGGCCUGGUUAGUACCUGGAUGGGAGACCGCCUGGGAAUACCAGGUGUUGUAGGCU